GACGAACGCUGGAGGCGUGCUUAACACAUGCAAGUCGAACGAUGAAAUGGAGCUUGCUCCAUGGAUUAGUGGCGAACGGGUGAGUAACACGUGAAUAACCUGCCCUUAAUUUUGGAAUAACCAAGGGAAACCUGGGCUAAUACCGGAUAAGUAAACCUGUGGCAUCACAUGGUGUUGGAAAGUUUUUCGAUUAAGGAUGGAUUAGCGGCCUAUCAGCUUGUUGGUGAGGUAAUGGCUCACCAAGGCGACGACGAGUAGCCGGCCUGAGAGGGUGAACGGCCACACUGGGACUGAGACACGGCCCAGACUCCUACGGGAGGCAGCAGUGGGGAAUAUUGCGCAAUGGACGAAAGUCUGACGCAGCGACGCCUCGUGAGGGACGAAGGUCUUCGGAUUGUAAACCUCUUUCAGCAGGGACGAAGCGAAAGUGACGGUACCUGCAGAAGAAGCACCGGCUAACUAUGUGCCAGCCGCCGCAGUAA
rnacentral:rRNA from 1 species